UAUGCUCAAGAUGAGAGAAUACUGUUUGAAGACAGUUGAGGAAUCACGAAGGGUUACAUCUUCCCUCGCAUUGCCAAAGACAACCGACGUGCACUUCCAUCAAAGCGAAGUGUGGCCUCAUAUCGUACUAUUUUUUCCAAGAUGACCAAGGCCCUAUUUGAGAAGCCAUACACCACACAUAGCAUUAGAAGGUCAGCAGCACGCUGGGCAGCCAGAUGUGGUGCUGAUGAUAGCACAAUCAAAAGGGCUGGUCGCUGGUAAGAACACUUGCCAAAAGCA